rnacentral:lncRNA from 1 species
AGAUAACACUUUUAGUCAGUUUUUGUUUUCUCUCUCAGCUCUCUCUAUGUUCUCUCUCUCUCUCUCUGGGUGCAGUUGUUUGGGCCAAAAGCAACCACACACCAGCCCACUUCCCACAAAGGCCCACAAAACAGAAGAAACGGAGGACUGAGUUUUGAUUUGAAAAUAAAAAGCCCAAAACCAAAUAAAAAAGCCCAUGUCUUUUAUAAAGUGGCAGAGUUGUAAAAACGUCAAGAUUAAGUGGCAAUCCACCAUUGACGCAGAUCAAUAAAAAAAAAAUCAAAAGAAAAAUUAGAUUGGGCUUAGCUUCUGAUCUCAAAUCCUGGAGUGCAAAAUCAAAAGACCUUUUUUGGAAAACCUAUGUUUAGAAGUCACGUGACUACCUGACUUAGGAAAGUCAACAAUUUCAACUGGAUUGAUAAAGAGUUGACAGAGGCCGGCAAAAAGAAGGGACGUCUCUGAAAUCUCUGCCACCAGAAGAUCAAAACCCUUUUAUAUAUUCAUAGAUAUUGUUUCUAUUCCAAAGAAGGCACCAUCUUUCAAGGGAUACGCAGG